rnacentral:tRNA from 1 species
CCUUCGAUAGCUCAGUUGGUAGAGUGUUGGACUGUAAAAUCGCUGGUUCAAAUCCGUCUUGAAGGA